GUGGAACAACAAAAGAGAGCCUGCUGCAUUCUUUCUAAGCAAACAAAAAGCAUAAUUGGAAAAAAUCAUUUUUAUGUUCUCUUACGUUAGAUGGGACCACUGAGUGAAACAUCCACUGAUGAAUUACUCCUCUAAUCUGUAGAGGAAAAACAGCUACUGGCAAAUUAAAGAGUCCUGGAACAGAGCCAUGAGAACUAAAUGGCUAAAAAUGAAAACAGGCAAACAUUUGAAGAGUAUUCUACAGAACACAGAUCUUUCAACACCUCCCCCUUUUCCAUGGCUAAUUCAUUGUCAUGGAAACUGAAUUUAUCAAAAUGUUCUUGUUCACUCCUAGUGACCCAGUGAGUCGACUUACAGAGCUGGUGAAAGGUAACGCAGGCUGAAGCAAUUUUUACAAAUGAUAUGCAGCAGUUCAUAAAUCGGAAUGACCUGAGGAGGAAAACAAAACAACAAACAACAAAAACAAACAAACAGGAAAUGAUCACUGGUGAACUUUGGAAAUGACACAGUAAUUGAAGGAAGACAGACAAGUAGUAGUGAAGAAAAAGGAUUACUGCCACUGCACUAUUCAAUCUGUCAAGGCAGAUUGCACCAGCAAAUAAAAUGUAUUUUAUUAUGGCUCAAGAAAAAGACAGUCGACACUGUGAUUCCUGGAGAGACCGGAGAGGGGAAGAAACUGAGCUGGAUCCCAGAGGAAGACACAAGUCAUCCUUCAUCCCUGCAUGAAGACGGAAAUCAGGGAAGGCAAAAAGUUAGUGAGGGGAAGAGACAACAGACAGAAUGGAGCAGUGAGACCCACCUAAUACAAUUUGUGACUACACUUGGAAAUGAGAUGAGGUUUUGGAACUAAUUUCCUACAGUCUAACUUGCAUGUGAAAUCUGAAGUAAGGGUUAGUGCACACUCUAGCAAGAAUUUACAUGUAUGUAAAAAAAAAAUCAGCACACCUUUGCACAGUUACCACAAUGAAUGAGUACUAACAACAUCCUUCCUUGGCUAAAAGCUGGUGUCACAUUUUGAGGAUACAAUUGGAAGAAAUGGACAUAAGUAGCGAGUACUGUCUUUCACUGCUGCUCUGCUCCUGUGAUCUAUAAAUAAAGAGAACUUUAACCUUUUGUAAGCUCA
rnacentral:lncRNA from 1 species